rnacentral:rRNA from 1 species
GACGAACGCUGGCGGCGUGCUUAACACAUGCAAGUCGAACGGGCCCGCCCCUGUUUUUGGGGGUGGGUUGAGUGGCGAACGGGUGAGUAUCACGUGAGUAACCUGCCCCCUGCUCCUGGAUAACUGCUUGAAAGGGCGGCUAAUACGGGGUGUGCCGGCUGGUCCGCAUGGGCCUGGUCGGGAUAGUUUCAUCUUCGGGUGUUUCGGUGGGGGAUGGGCUCGCGGCCUAUCAGCUUGUUGGUGGGGUGAUUGCCCACCAAGGCGGUGACGGGUAGCCGGCCUGAGGGGGUGGGGGGCCACACGGGGACUGGGACACGGCCCAGACGCCUGCGGGAGGCAGCAGUGGGGGGUAUUGCACAAGGGGCGGAAGCCUGAUGCAGCGACGUCGCGUGAGGGAUGGAGGCCUUCGGGUGGUGAACCUCUUUCUCCGGUGGUGAAGGCCCUGUCCGGUGCGGCGGGGUUGACGGUAGCCGGGUAUGAAGCGCCGGCUAACUACGUG